rnacentral:rRNA from 1 species
AGAGUUUGAUCCUGGCUCAGGACGAACGCUGGCGGCGUGCUUAACACAUGCAAGUCGAGCGGUAAGGCUCCUUCGGGAGUACACGAGCGGCGAACGGGUGAGUAACACGUGAGCAAUCUGCCCUUCACUUCGGGAUAACACCGGGAAACCGGUGCUAAUACCGGAUACGACCACCUCGGGCAUCCGAUGGUGGUGGAAAGUUCCGGCGGUGAAGGAUGAGCUCGCGGCCUAUCAGCUUGUUGGUGGGGUAAUGGCCCACCAAGGCGACGACGGGUAGCCGGCCUGAGAGGGUGACCGGCCACACUGGGACUGAGACACGGCCCAGACUCCUACGGGAGGCAGCAGUGGGGAAUAUUGGACAAUGGGCGAAAGCCUGAUCCAGCAACGCCGCGUGAGGGAUGACGGCCUUCGGGUUGUAAACCUCUUUCACCCAUGACGAAGCGAAAGUGACGGUAGUGGGAGAAGAAGCACCGGCCAACUACGUGCCAGCAGCCGCGGUAAUACGUAGGGUGCGAGCGUUGUCCGGAAUUAUUGGGCGUAAAGGGCUCGUAGGCGGUUUGUCACGUCGGGAGUGAAAACUCAGGGCUUAACCCUGAGCCUGCUUCCGAUACGGGCAGACUAGAGGUAUGCAGGGGAGAACGGAAUUCCUGGUGUAGCGGUGAAAUGCGCAGAUAUCAGGAGGAACACCGGUGGCGAAGGCGGUUCUCUGGGCAUUACCUGACGCUGAGGAGCGAAAGUGUGGGGAGCGAACAGGAUUAGAUACCCUAGUAGUCC